UGUGGACAACAAAAUCCACCUGUAAUAAAAUCCAGUGGAAGAUUUCUAUGGAUUAAAUUUUUUGCUGAUGGAGAGCUGGAAUCUAUGGGAUUUUCGGCUCGAUACAAUUUCACCCCUGAUCCUGACUUUAAGGACCUUGGAGUUUUGAAACCAUUACCAGUGUGUGAGUUUGAGAUGGGCGGUCCUGAAGGAAUUGUGGAGUCCGUACAGAUAAUGAAGGAAGGCAAAGCUUCUGCUAGCGAGGCCGUGGAUUGCAAGUGGUACAUCCGGGCACCUCCACGAUCCAAGAUCUACCUUCGCUUCUUGGACUAUGAGAUGCAGAAUUCAAAUGAAUGCAAAAGGAACUUUGUGGCGGUGUAUGACGGCAGCAGUUCCGUGGGGGACCUAAAGGCGAAGUUCUGCAGCACCGUGGCCAAUGACGUCAUGCUCCGCACAGGUCUCGGGGUGAUCCGCAUGUGGGCCGAUGAGGGCAGUCGAAACAGCAGAUUUCAGAUGCUCUUCACAUCCUUCCAAGAACCUCCCUGUGAAGGCAAUACAUUCUUCUGUCAUAGUAACAUGUGUAUUAACAAUACACUGGUCUGCAAUGGCCUCCAGAACUGUGUGUAUCCUUGGGACGAAAAUCAUUGUAAAGAGAAGAGAAAAACCAGCCUGCUGGACCAGCUCACCAACACCAGUGGGACUGUCAUUGGCGUGACUUCCUGCAUUGUGAUCAUCCUUAUUAUCAUUUCUGUCAUUGUGCAGAUCAAACAGCCUCGUAAAAAAUAUGUCCAAAGGAAAGCGGACUUUGACCAGACAGUUUUCCAGGAGGUGUUUGAGCCUCCCCAUUAUGAGUUAUGCACUCUGAGAGGGACAGGAGCUACCGCUGACUUUGCAGAUGUGGCAGACGACUUUGAGAACUACCACAAACUGCGGAGAUCCUCUUCCAAAUGCGUCCAUGACCACCACUGUGGGUCCCAAGUGUCCAGUACAAAGGGCAGCCGCAGUAACCUCAGCACAAGAGAUGCCUCUGUCUUGACAGAGAUGCCCCCCCAGCCCAUCAAACCCCUCAUCCCACCCACGAACAGAAGAAACAUCCUAGUCAUGAAACACACCUACUCACAGGAUGCCGCGGAUGCCUGUGACAUCGACGAGAUCGAGGAGGUGCCCACGACGAGCCACAGGCUGUCCCGACACGACAAAGCUGUGCAGCGGUUCUGCCUCAUUGGGUCUCUAAGCAAACACGAAUCUGAAUACAACACAACUAGGGUCUAAAAGAAAAUUCAAGCGAAACUCUUCAAAACACUUCCAGCCAAUCAACUGUUCUUGAAUUAGAGAAGAACUAUUUAUACAAACAUGGGGACUGUGAAAAGAAAAUUCUAUAGUGAAUUGUGAAAAGUGGACAUAUUUCUAAAUUCAUUCCACUGCCUUUAUCCAAACUUAAGAAUUACAGACAUUUGUUUAUUCCUCCGGCAAGACAUCCCUGCUGCACAAUGAUACGUUCAUUUCGUAAUUUGGUUGCUGGCCACCAAGUGCUCCUUAGUUUCUAAAUACAUUCUGAGAUUUACUGGAAACUUGAAGAAGAAAUUAGUUCCUGAUUAAGACUAUCCCAAUUUUUAUUUUUACUGUUAGUUUCACUCUGUUUCCAUGUUGUUGUAUGUCCUUGUUAUAUGAUUGUACGUUGUGUGGUAUGUGAAAAAUAUGAUUUUGGAUGACCUUUGUGUUCCAUGUGCAUUGUUUUCAUUACAUAGACUGCUUGAGAAUAGUGCGCUCCUGAGGGAUUUUGAACGUGCUACUGUUAAGAAGUGAAAGUAUGGACCAUGGGAGCACCAGCUAGAGGUUUUGUGGACUAUCACCGUCGGUUACUGUAUUUUGAUUAAAUGCAGCCGAAAGUCUUGAGUAAAAAUAACUAGAUUGCAAUAAGAAACACCUCAUUUUUUUUCUUGGUCUUUCCCAAAUUCCCCCCAAUUUCCUUUUUGUUUUGUAUCAAAGGAAGAUGCUAAGUUUCAGAAAUCAUUUUUGAAAUCAGGUAUUUCACUAUUCAUACCCUUGCAAUAGAAAUGUUUUUGGAUGAAGCACUUAGCAAUAUGACUGAAUCGACAGUGUGAGAAACUACCCUGCAUGUCACUACUGGAUAUUUGAGUUGGGAAAAUACCCUUUUUAUUAGACACAUUGUAAAAAGCAUGCAUCCUCCAAUACUGCUGUUAUACUUCCAUUUCUUUGUGUCAUAUGCUUGCUACUUGUAACUUUUGAUAUAAAGAUAUAUAAAAAAUGUAUAAUAAUUUCCUAACUUGAGUUAAGAAGAAUGUUUUCUUCUAUUAGAGUGAUGAAAAAGAACCCAAACACCUGACUUACAUGAGUGCACACUUUAUAUCAACUCUUUCUACCUGUUAGGCUAUAGGAUGUCUUUUAGUAUUGAGGCUUACUUCUCUAAAAUUUGAUCUCGAAAAUUUUAUGGAAUAUGUUCUCCUUUUAGAAUAGGAAAAUCUUUUUAAGUGCUUUAAAACCACAGGUCCUCCCAUGCCCCACAUUACACCAUUCUGAGUUGCUCUCAUACUGAGGCACAUAAAUACUACCUGAGGCUUACUAAUCAUGUGUUUAAUAUAAAUAAAGUAAAACCAGAUGAUA